CAGUCGAACGAAACUUCUUUAUCACCGAGUGCUUGCACUCACCGAUAAAGAGUUGAGUGGCGAACGGGUGAGUAACACGUGGGCAACCUGCCCAAAAGAGGGGGAUAACACUUGGAAACAGGUGCUAAUACCGCAUAACCAUAGUUACCGCAUGGUGACUAUGUAAAAGGUGGCUAUGCUACCGCUUUUGGAUGGGCCCGCGGCGCAUUAGCUAGUUGGUGGGGUAAAGGCUUACCAAGGCAAUGAUGCGUAGCCGAACUGAGAGGUUGAUCGGCCACAUUGGGACUGAGACACGGCCCAAACUCCUACGGGAGGCAGCAGUAGGGAAUCUUCCACAAUGGGCGAAAGCCUGAUGGAGCAACGCCGCGUGGGUGAAGAAGGUCUUCGGAUCGUAAAACCCUGUUGUUAGAGAAGAAAGUGCGUGAGAGUAACUGUUCACGUUUCGACGGUAUCUAACCAGAAAGCCACGGCUAACUACGUGCCAGCAGCCGCGGUAAUACGUAGGUGGCAAGCGUUAUCCGGAUUUAUUGGGCGUAAAGGGAACGCAGGCGGUCUUUUAAGUCUGAUGUGAAAGCCUUCGGCUUAACCGGAGUAGUGCAUUGGAAACUGGGAGACUUGAGUGCAGAAGAGGAGAGUGGAACUCCAUGUGUAGCGGUGAAAUGCGUAGAUAUAUGGAAGAACACCAGUGGCGAAAGCGGCUCUCUGGUCUGUAACUGACGCUGAGGUUCGAAAGCGUGGGUAGCAAACAGGAUUAGAUACCCUGGUAGUCCACGCCGUA
rnacentral:rRNA from 1 species